rnacentral:rRNA from 1 species
CCUACGGGGGGCUGCAGUGGGGAAUAUUGGACAAUGGGCGAAAGCCUGAUCCAGCCAUGCCGCGUGUGUGAAGAAGGCCUUCGGGUUGUAAAGCACUUUCAGUGGGGAAGAAAGCCUUGGGGCUAAUACCCUCGAGGAAGGACAUCACCCACAGAAGAAGCACCGGCUAACUCCGUGCCAGCAGCCGCGGUAAUACGGGGGUGCGAGCGUUAAUCGGAAUUACUGGGCGUAAAGCGCGCGUAGGCGGUCUGAUAAGCCGGUUGUGAAAGCCCCGGGCUCAACCUGGGAACGGCAUCCGGAACUGUCAGGCUAGAGUGCAGGAGAGGAAGGUAGAAUUCCCGGUGUAGCGGUGAAAUGCGUAGAGAUCGGGAGGAAUACCAGUGGCGAAGGCGGCCUUCUGGACAGACACUGACGCUGAGGUGCGAAAGCGUGGGUAGCAAACAGGAUUAGAUACCCCUGUAGUC